AAUUGAGACCUGAUGCCCCCAGCCCAGACAUGACCCCCUAACCCAGACUUGCCUCACAACCAAGACAUGACCCCUCAACCCAGACGGGACACCAAACCAGUCGUGACCCCAAACCCAGUCCUGACCCCCAAUCCCAGACCUGACCCCCAACCUAGACCUGAUACCCCUAGACCGGAGCCCCCAAUCCAGACCUGAGCUCCAACCCAGACCUGAUCUCCCAACCCAGACCUGCCACUCAACCCAGACCUGCUCCCCAACCCAGACCUGGCCCUAAUUCAAACCUGACCCCCAAGCCUCAGACCUGACCCCAAAAACAGACCUGACUCCCCAGCCAGACCUAAUGCCCAACACAAACCUCAACCCCAACCCCAACCCCAGACCUGAUCCCCAACCCUAGGCCCAAUCCCCAACCCAAUACCUGACCCCCAGCCUGGACCUGAACCUCCAACCCCAGACCUGACCCCCAACCUGGAUGUGACCCCCCCCAAUGCCAGACCUGACCCCCAACGCAGACCUGACCCCCAACAUAGAAUUUAUUCCCAACCCCAAACUUAAGUCCUUAAUCCAGACCUGAUCCACAACCCCAGAGCUGACCCCAACCCCAGACCUGACCUCCGACCCCAGACCUGACCCCAACCCCAGACCUGACCCAAUCCCAACCUCACCUCCAGCCUCAGACUUAUCCACCAACCCAAACCUGACCCCCAACUCAGACUUGACCCCAACCCAGACCUGAUCUCCAACCCAGACUUGCUCCCCAACUCAGACCUGAUCCCCCAACUAACACCUGACCCCCAACCCCAACCUGACCCUCAGCUCAGGCCUCAGAACCCUCUCGCUCCUGGGGCCCUCCACACCCUCCCCGUUUCUCAUAACCAGCACACCCUCUCCUCUAGGGGCUGGAGGAGGGAAGGGUGAGCUGUCUGAGGCCAGCAUGGAGCCAGAAAGGAAGGGGUUCUGGUCGGCUUCUUUGGAUGGAGAUGGGAGCAAAGAAAAUAAAUUAAAACAAGAAGACUAUAAAUACUUACAUACGUCCUCCAAAUUAGACAGAUACAAAAUAGCAAGACUGUUAACAGAAGAGGCAAUUAAGGUAAAUGCUCCUUGGGACUCAGUGGGGAGGGGGACACUUUUUUAAAAGAACAUUUGUUUUGGAACUUGGAGUCUGUUUGUCUGGUGUCUGAUGCACUGUGCCUGAGAGUUGCAGCCUUCUCCCUGUGGGACUUGGCUAGAGUUACAUUUAUUUGUUUGUUUAUUUAUUUUUGAGACAGUCUUGCUCUGUCGCCCAGGCUGGAGUACAGUGGCACAAUCUCAGCUCACUGCAACCUCCACCUCCUGGGCUCAAGCAAUUUCUGUGCCUCAGCCUCUUGAGUAGCUGGGACUACAGGUGCACGCCACCACACCUAGCUAAUUUUUUUAUUUAUUAGUAGAAUUGGAGGUUUCACUAUGUUGGCCAGGCUGGUCUUGAACUCCUGACCUCAGGUAAUCCUAGCACUUUGGGAGGCCGAGGCAGGAAGAUCAGAAGUUCGAGACCAGUCUGGCCAAUAGAGUGAAAACCCAUCUCUACUAAAAAUACAAAAAAUUAGCUGGGUAUGGUGGUGUGCACCUGUAAUCCCAGCUACUCAGGAGGCUGAGGCAGGAGAAUUGUGUGAACCAGGGAAGCAGAGGUUGCAAUUAGCCAAGAUCACGCCAUUGCACUCCAGCCCUGGUGACAGUGUGCGACUCUUGUCUCAAAAAAAAAAAAAAAAAAAAAAUUAGCCAGGCAUGGUGGCAGGGAGAAUUGCUUGAACCUGGAAGGUGGAGGUUGCAGUGAGCCAAGAUCACACCACUGCACUCUAGCCUGGGGUGG
rnacentral:lncRNA from 13 species